rnacentral:rRNA from 1 species
CUCCUAUUACGGUCACCGACUUCAGGUACCCCAGACUUCCAUGGCUUGACGGGCGGUGUGUACAAGGCCCGGGAACGUAUUCACCGCGCCAUGGCUGAUGCGCGAUUACUAGCGAUUCCAGCUUCAUAGAGUCGAGUUGCAGACUCCAAUCCGAACUGAGACCGGCUUUCGAGAUUCGCAUCCUGUCACCAGGUAGCUGCCCUCUGUACCGGCCAUUGUAUUACGUGUGUGGCCCAAGACGUAAGGGCCGUGAUGAUUUGACGUCAUCCCCACCUUCCUCUCUACUUGCGUAGGCAGUCCCAACAGAGUCCCCAACUGAAUGAUGGCAACUGUUGGCAGGGGUUGCGCUCGUUGCAGGACUUAACCUAACACCUCACGGCACGAGCUGACGACAACCAUGCAGCACCUUGAAAAUUGCCCGAAGGAGGAUCUAUUUCUAAAUCUGUCAAUUCCCAUUUAAGUCUUGGUAAGGUUCCUCGCGUAUCAUCGAAUUAAACCACAUAAUCCACCGCUUGUGCGGGCCCCCGUCAAUUCCUUUGAGUUUCAUCCUUGCGGACGUACUCCCCAGGUGGCUAACUUAUCACUUUCGCUUGGUCUCUGAACCCGAAGAUCCAAAAACGAGUUAGCAUCGUUUACGGCGUGGACCACCAGGGUAUCUAAUCCUGUUCGCUCCCCACGCUUUCGUCCAUCAGCGUCAGUUAAAUCUUAGUGACCUGCCUUCGCAAUCGGUGUUCUAAGUAAUAUCUAUGCAUUUCACCGCUACACUACUUAUUCCAGCCACUUCAAAUUUACUCAAGGCCUGCAGUAUCAAUGGCAGUUUCAUAGUUAAGCUAUGAGAUUUCACCACUGACUUACAGGCCCGCCUACGGACCCUUUAAACCCAAUAAAUCCGGAUAACGCUCGCACCCUCCGUAUUACCGCGGCUGCUGGCACGGAGUUAGCCGGUGCUUAUUCGUACAGUACCUUCAGCUGCCCUCACGAGGGCAGGUUUAUCCCUGUACAAAAGAAGUUUACAAUCCAUAGGACCGUCAUCCUUCACGCGGGAUGGCUGGAUCAGGCUUCCACCCAUUGUCCAAUAUUCCUCACUGCUGCCUCCCGUAGGAGUCUGGUCCGUGUCUCAGUACCAGUGUGGGGGAUCUCCCUCUCAGGACCCCUAAAGAUCAUCGACUUGGUGGGCCGUUACCCCGCCAACUAUCUAAUCUUGCGCGUGCCCAUCUCUAUCCGCCGAGGCUUUCAAUGGCGACCGAUGCCGGACACCAUAUUAUGGGGUAUUAAUCUUCCUUUCGAAAGGCUAUCCCCCAGAUAAAGGCAGGUUGCACACGUGUUACGCACCCGUACGCCGCUCUC